AGAUGAAAACGUUCUAGAGAUCUGUUGCACAACACUGAUAAAUUGAUUGUACCUCAAGGCAUCAAGAGCCAUAUUGGAGAAUGAUGUUCCUCAAAUCAGGGCUUUCGUAGCCUCCAGCAACAGCCGUCCGAUUCCAGUCUUUGAAACUGUCCAACACCUGGUAUAUUGCACCCUGCGGUUCAUUCUCCUCUCCUACUUCGUUCCAG